rnacentral:lncRNA from 1 species
AAAAAAAAAAAAAAACAUAUUUAUUAUAGAUAACUUUAUUAUAUUGCUUACUAUUGUCCAAAGAAGUAAUUAAACUACAAAAGAAAAGUAUAUAAUUACAUAUUAAUUAAUAAUUAAAACUUUGUAAAAUAAAACAUAUUAAUAAAUAAUUUAAAAAUAUACAUAUUUUUAAUUAUUAAUUUUUAUUUAAAUUUAAAAUUUAUAUUUUAGGAUUUUAUUUUUUUUAUUGAUAUUAAAUACACACACAUAAAUAUGGUUUUUUUGUUUUUGCAUAUGUCAAGUCUUGUUUUUAUAUUAUAAGAAGUUUAAAUUGUAUUGUAUUAAUUUGCAUGUCUUCUUCUUUUGACAAUAUAGUUUUUAAAAUUUUGAUUGCUAAUAUAAAGUUAUAAAAUAAUUAUGACAUACUAGUACAUGCUUCUAAAUAGAUUUCAAAAGAAACAAUUUUUACACUCAACAACAAAUUCAGCUUGUUAAUUAAAUGCUUGAGAUUAUAUAAUUGAAUAGUAAUUAUUUUACUUAUUAUUCUAAUCUACAAUCAAUCUAAUUAGUUACUAAAUCAUCGUUUUACUUAAUAUAAAUUAGUAAUUAUCAAAAUUGUAAAACAAGCAUUAAUAGAAAAUAUAUAUUUUUUCUCCUUAAAUAUAUUUUUUAUAUAAAAGAUUAUAUUUUUUUUCCUUAAAAGAUUGGAAUAUCACUAGUUUCUACUUAAAUUGCAUUAUGUUCUCCAAGUAACUUUGAUUGGGCCAAAAAUAAAGUUGAAUAUUCUUAAAAAAUCAAAUAAUUAUAUAAAUAGAUAAAAAGAUAAAAAAAAAAAUCUAAUUUUAUACAAAAAUUAACUAUUUGGUGAAAUUAUUAUGGCAUUGCACUAUUUUAUAAGGUAUCCUAAAUGUGUUAUAAUCAUAUGGAGGCAAAGAUAAGGCCAUUUUUAAUCGUGUUGAAGAUUUUUUGUAUUUUAGAUUUAGUUCAAGUCUCUCUAGGUCUUUGUACCUAAAAAUAUUCAUUCUAAUAUCUUCUUAAUUUAUAAAUAUCUAUCUUCUUCACUCUAUUCUUCCUUCUUAGUUGUAUAUAAUUAUACAUUUUUUGACCAACUUGUUAAGAUUUGUAUAAUAUUUAUUAGUUCAUUUAUAAAAUUAUUUAUAUUUUUUACUUUCAAAUCUUUUUAUAAUUUUUAGUAUCUUUACUUUUACUUUGGAGUAUUUCUCUACGUUUUCAUUCAUAAUUAUUUCUUUUACUAAUUCAUUUCGGUGCUCUAUUUUGAGAUUAUUAAUUCAUAAAAUCAAACUUCUAAAUGUAGUCUUUAAUCCUUUAAACAUGCUUACAGUUGGUUAAUUAAUUUAAUUUGACACCUGAACCAUGACAUGAAGGGGGACAGAGCCUCGCAGUUAUGGUCGAGAUUAUUUUUGUUCAUACAGUGGUACCAAAUUAUAUUCAAAUAAGAGAUCAUUGAGGGAUCUUCUCUGUUGCACAUUUGGAGGUCAAUACAAGUUGGUGCCAGUGGUCUUCCAGUUGGCAACACAGACAAUUAUGAUACACACCUCAUGUUUCAGUGUCUAAUAUGAAUUGAAUUAUUGCAACUGCAAAGAAGUUGAGUAGAAAAGGUUCUUCUGUCGGUGGUAGCGGUGCACAGAAAAGCAGCUCCACAAAUUGGACAGUGUUUUGUUGACCGAAGAUGCUAAUUUUGAAUGCUGGUGACAUGUGCAUACUACAUAUAUUAGAGUUCAGACAAUGGGCAUUGAUCAUUGCCUGACUCCGACAUAUCUCGAAAGAUGAAAACGUAAUCCUCGACUAAACAUUUUCGCUACCCCUUUUUACUGUUGUGGUCAAUGCCAUGGGCAAUGAUCCUGCAUUUGGCUGACAGACAUAACUGCUGUGUUCUGUCGGAUUGUAGUUAUGUCGAGUUGUGUCGAUCCCAAGGCGUUGCCACAAGGAGGAUCAUGGCUUCAAACCAUUUAAUGCUGUAUUAUUGCUGACACUUUCCACGUCCCAAUAUUGCACGAAGGAAACAGCUUCAUUGACGUUCAUGGGGGUCCUUACAAUUUCAUAGGAUUCAGAUACUGUUGCAAGCAUUCCAAGUGAUGCAAGGCUCCUUCGGACAAUAUAUUUUAGUUGCAGGUGUAGGUGAAUUAUUCCAGGAUGGAAAAUAGCAGAUUUUCUCACAAGUGCAGCAGUUCUGCUUCGUUAUGCUAAUAUUCGGUGGCUGGGUGAACCGCCAUCAAUGAUAGUUCCACGUCACUGUUGUUAAUCAUUCGCAUAGCGCACAUUCGCAGAGACGAUUCACAAGCGAUGAGAGCAUACUGGAAAAAUCAAGUCUAAGGAGAUUCAACAAAAUUAGGACCAGUGCUUUUAAUUCCGACAAAAUAAGAACAGAAAAGUAUAACAAGAUAGACCAAAAAAAGGAAGAUUUGACAAAAAUUACCACCUACGGAUGCCGUUUAACUGCAGGCAUGGACUGAGAAGUAGAGCCAGUUUGGAAAGUUAUCAAAUAAAUGAAAAACAGAGUUAAAAGCCAUGACAGAAUCAAAGACUAUACCAUUUGAUGUCACAAUAAAAAUCACUUACACCCAAUGAAUGCUAACCUGGGGUCAACAAGAUUUAACAGUUUCCCCUAUUUGUAUGUAACACUAUACUUUGGGCACCACCUACAGGCUAACCUAAAUGUUCAGGGGCUCAGCUUCACUUUCUUUUUCAGUCGCCCACGUCUCCACUGACCCUGCAUAACAUGAAACAGGGUCUCGUUACGACUUAUCUCAGUGCGUCACAAAUAGUCGUACUAUCUUUAUUUUACUAGUUUCUGUGAGGAAUGUAACAUAUACGCAAGUAAACAAACGGUUCCAAAAUAAUGUGAGGUGGGUAGGGCGAAUCCAACUCACUGCUCCUGUGCUUAUCGGAGACCAUCAAGAGACGCCGCUGCAAGAUACCCGCCACUGCCAAAAAUAUUGCGCACAUUCCAAACAUCACACUGAUUGGGAAUGCACUGACCUGAAAUGUUUAGCAACAAACCAAAAGAGAAGUCAGACAGCUUGCUGCUUUAAUAAUUUCAAACUCGGCGAUUCCAUGAAUCUCCAAAUUUGUUCUACCAAGGAUAAAGAAAAGAGUCGUGAAGAUCCACCAGGGAAAGCAUGACUUACAUUGUAUAAUACAACACAGACGAAAACGUUUAAAGGGAUGCGGAAAAAGUUCAUGAUUGUGCUUCUCGACUCCUCAGGGAUAUACUGGGACCUCAUUUUCAUGAUAGAGGGCCAGAACACUCCCACACACAUUUCAAAAAUACAGAAACCAAGUAGGUUUAGUCGCCCCCCAGCGGUAAUGCUAUCAGAGGGUGAGUCUGGCAAAAAGAACUGCAACAAAACCACAAAAAAUAACCCCGAAAUCACGUGUUAAAUCAAGUAAACAGAUGAUAGUGUUAGUGCUCACUCCUUUUGUCUCUAAAAACGGUCUGUAUCAGUGCUACACAACCCUAUUGCACUUAUUGACUAUAGAUUUUCGCAACCAAAAUUCAGGGAGUAAGGUUACCAAAGAUUACUACUACUUGCUUAAACUAACCAAGUAUCAUUCAAAUUACAGCGACUACUUACAGCCAUCAGCAUUGCCAAUAUCAUAAGCUAGGAGAAUGAACUCACUUGGAUGAUAACUGGAAGGCAGAGGGAACCCGAAGCGACGGCAAACACGACCUGCAUAUAGCUCUCCACCCUCAAGUGUGAACGUGACAUGAGACGAGAUGCCAAGGAGCUGCCUAACAUAGAGGCAAGCAUGAAGGUAGCAAAAAUAAAGCCGAAUGGGAUUUUCUGAUCGUUGGGGCUCAAGGCUGGUGUCCAGAGGAACACAAAUGUGUACAUGGAGCCCUCAAACAAAGACUGGAUGGCACCCAAAAGGGCUAUCUUCUCAUCUGCGAAUUCAGUGACACAAUCACAACCCAGCAUCGUGACUUACUUUGGCUGAUCUCAAAUCCUCCAUCUCAGUACCAAACGAGCACACAUUAAUUUGAAACUUUCAGAACUAUGUUUGGUCGUAAGUAUGAAUCAGUCAGAGCUUGAAAUAUGUCUACAACUCAUCAAUCUUACCAGAAGCAAUAGCUGAAGCUGCCUGCGUAAAUUGAUGCGUGAAGCUUUUGCCUUCCGUCUGAUCUCCAUAGUUCUCCGGCCAAAAAGAGAUAAUAAUGGCCAUGCCAACGGCCAGAACACAAGCUGCAGCGUCGAAGGGAGAGACAGGGCCUAAGCCAAAUGUACCCGCUAAAGUGUUUGCCACUAGCCCAGCUAGAAUAGCAAUCAGCCCAUUGCCCAAGAAUAUAGCCUUGGAGAAAGUGAGUGAUAACCACUGCGCCUCAAAGCCCCUCUACAUCCAUGACGUGCAAAAGGACGCCGUUAGUGUAUCCUAAAGAUUCGUCUUAAUGACAGCAGUGUAAAAUAACCCCCAAAUAUGAACUCACUUCAUGACUAUACUUGAUACAUCGCAAACAUAACCUAAAAGUGUAGGUAGUUUAGCUACCUUAAAAUGCUCAGCCACGAGCCAUGACUCAAAUGAUGAGAAAAGCAGUGACGUGGCGAUACCUCCCAACACACGUCCCAACAUCAACACUCUGUAUGCUGGAGAAUGCUUCGUGAAACAACUCAGAAUAUAUGUGAUACAGUAGAUGACACUCAUCCUCUUGCGCCCACUAUAAGCAAAAGUUCGAAGCGUCAGAAACAUCAUAAAAUCACUUGAAGUGAAGAAUUAAACCAGAUCUGAUGUGACUGUUUGGACAUGACAAAGAUGGUACUCUACCAGGUAAUUGAGAGUUCCGCGAUAAACCGAAAGAGCCUAAUUGUUUGGCAAGUUCAGUGAGUACGCAUGAAUAAAAAAUACUUUAAUCAAGUAAGCCUUUCAAUGUUCUCAAGUCAGCCACGAAAAUGAUGGGAGCAAGGAAAAUAGACCACUCCUGAGAUGCAAACAUGGGCAUAAACACACGUACUAUCGAUCGGCAAGAGAUCCGACAACAGUCCCGAAGAUCAUCGAGGAUCCAAAUCCAGCUAUGAACAGCUUUCCAAUGUCACCCUUGUUGUAUCCAUAAAAGACAUAGAGAGCGUACACAUAUGGUCCCUGCAGCCAGUCUCCCGCUGCAAACAUGAACAACAACUUUGAGAUUCUUGAAGUUUAGGAAGCAAUCACAUCUUUCACUAAGCAUGACUUGUUGGUCUGGAGGGAAAUGCUAACCAAAAAAUGAUAUGACGAAUUAACUUGAGCUAAUACCCACUGAAAUGAUAAGACAUACACCAAAUACGAGGCAAAAAGAAAAUAGAAAGAAAAAAAAUACAUUAGACUCAGCAUAGACAGUGCAUCGAAAAACUCCCCUGGGUAGAACAGAUUUAUCGACAAUUAAAAUACAAGUUAAAAGACAAGAAGAGAAUAAAAUUACAAUCAGCUGAUUAAACAAUCUUCAGACGCAAAAUCUUAAGUGCAGUAGACAGCAUUCCAAGACGAUCUCCGAACAUAGCCCCAUGCGGUAGGCCGCAACCAGAGGUGAGCUACAGCGACAAUCAAAUGCCUCACGACCCUUAGCUACGACGUCUACCGUGUAAAUGAACUAAAUCCGCAAUGCAUGUUGAUGUGUGGAAAUAACAAGACCUAUAAGCAUCACGACUAAGCAGAAUCCAAUUUUCAGGGCAUUCCAUGAUACAGCGAAACAAGCUACUCAAGAACGAGAUGCGAUUCAGUUACUAAAAAUAAAAGGACCACACCAUCAGUGACUUGAGGAAAUGACAGAAAGUCAUUCACUCAAAUACGAAUGUAAUAGAAAGACGCGAUACGUAAACCCACUGUCUACGGAUCGCAGUUGAAUAUUCUUGAUCGCAUCAGCUCAAACACGUACAGUCGAUAAACUUUUUUUUUAUACAAAAAGAAGAAAAAAGGAGUGAGGGAGGGGACUUUUUAAAAUAUUUUA